rnacentral:rRNA from 1 species
AUGAACGCUGGCGGCGUGCCUAAUACAUGCAAGUCGAACGAGUUCUGAUUAUUGAAAGGUGCUUGCAUCUUGAUUUAAUUUUGAACGAGUGGCGGACGGGUGAGUAACACGUGGGUAACCUGCCCUUAAGUGGGGGAUAACAUUUGGAAACAGAUGCUAAUACCGCAUAAAUCCAAGAACCGCAUGGUUCUUGGCUGAAAGAUGGCGUAAGCUAUCGCUUUUGGAUGGACCCGCGGCGUAUUAGCUAGUUGGUGAGGUAACGGCUCACCAAGGCAAUGAUACGUAGCCGAACUGAGAGGUUGAUCGGCCACAUUGGGACUGAGACACGGCCCAAACUCCUACGGGAGGCAGCAGUAGGGAAUCUUCCACAAUGGACGCAAGUCUGAUGGAGCAACGCCGCGUGAGUGAAGAAGGCUUUCGGGUCGUAAAACUCUGUUGUUGGAGAAGAAUGGUCGGCAGAGUAACUGUUGUCGGCGUGACGGUAUCCAACCAGAAAGCCACGGCUAACUACGUGCCAGCAGCCGCGGUAAUACGUAGGUGGCAAGCGUUAUCCGGAUUUAUUGGGCGUAAAGCGAGCGCAGGCGGUUUUUUAAGUCUGAUGUGAAAGCCCUCGGCUUAACCGAGGAAGUGCAUCGGAAACUGGGAAACUUGAGUGCAGAAGAGGACAGUGGAACUCCAUGUGUAGCGGUGAAAUGCGUAGGUAUAUGGAAGAACACCAGUGGCGAAGGCGGCUGUCUGGUCUGUAACUGACGCUGAGGCUCGAAAGCAUGGGUAGCGAACAGGAUUAGAUACCCUGGUAGUCCAUGCCGUAAACGAUGAAUGCUAGGUGUUGGAGGGUUUCCGCCCUUCAGUGCCGCAGCUAACGCAUUAAGCAUUCCGCCUGGGGAGUACGACCGCAAGGUUGAAACUCAAAGGAAUUGACGGGGGCCCGCACAAGCGGUGGAGCAUGUGGUUUAAUUCGAAGCAACGCGAAGAACCUUACCAGGUCUUGACAUCUUUUGAUCACCUGAGAGAUCAGGUUUCCCCUUCGGGGGCAAAAUGACAGGUGGUGCAUGGUUGUCGUCAGCUCGUGUCGUGAGAUGUUGGGUUAAGUCCCGCAACGAGCGCAACCCUUAUGACUAGUUGCCAGCAUUUAGUUGGGCACUCUAGUAAGACUGCCGGUGACAAACCGGAGGAAGGUGGGGAUGACGUCAAAUCAUCAUGCCCCUUAUGACCUGGGCUACACACGUGCUACAAUGGAUGGUACAACGAGUUGCGAGACCGCGAGGUCAAGCUAAUCUCUUAAAGCCAUUCUCAGUUCGGACUGUAGGCUGCAACUCGCCUACACGAAGUCGGAAUCGCUAGUAAUCGCGGAUCAGCACGCCGCGGUGAAUACGUUCCCGGGCCUUGUACACACCGCCCGUCACACCAUGAGAGUUUGUAACACCCGAAGCCGGUGGCGUAACCCUUUUAGGGAGCGAGCCGUCUAAGGUGGGACAAAUGAUUAGGGUG